rnacentral:rRNA from 1 species
CCUACGGGGCGCAGCAGUGGGGAAUAUUGCACAAUGGGCGCAAGCCUGAUGCAGCCAUGCCGCGUGUGUGAAGAAGGCCUUCGGGUUGUAAAGCACUUUCAGCGGGGAGGACGGCGGUGAGGUUAAUAACCUCAUCGAUUGACGUUACCCGCAGAAGAAGCACCGGCUAACUCCGUGCCAGCAGCCGCGGUAAUACGGAGGGUGCAAGCGUUAAUCGGAAUUACUGGGCGUAAAGCGCACGCAGGCGGUCUGUCAAGUCGGAUGUGAAAUCCCCGGGCUCAACCUGGGAACUGCAUUCGAAACUGGCAGGCUAGAGUCUUGUAGAGGGGGGUAGAAUUCCAGGUGUAGCGGUGAAAUGCGUAGAGAUCUGGAGGAAUACCGGUGGCGAAGGCGGCCCCCUGGACAAAGACUGACGCUCAGGUGCGAAAGCGUGGGGAGCAAACAGGAUUAGAUACCCGUGUAGUC